UACGUAGGUGGCAAGCGUUGUUCGGAAUUAUUGGGCGUAAAGGGCGCGUAGGCGGUUUGUUAAGUCGGUUGUGAAAGCCCGGGGCUCAACCCCGGAGGGUCGACCGAUACUGGCAGGCUAGAGUACAGAAGAGGUAGCUGGAAUUCCCGGUGUAGCGGUGAAAUGCGUAGAGUAUCGGGAGGAACACCAGAGGCGAAGGCGGGACUGACUGGCUGAUACUGACGCUGAUGCGCGAAAGCUGGGGGAGCAAACGGG
rnacentral:rRNA from 1 species